CAAUAGCGUAUAUUAAAGUUGUUGCAGUUAAAAAGCUCGUAGUUGGACCUUGGACCUGGACAGGCGGUCCGCCACACGGCGAGUACUGUCUUGCUGGGUCUUUCCUCUUGGUGAUCUGUUGUUUCGGCAGCAGGGAACCAGGACCUUUACUUUGAAAAAAUUAGAGUGUUCAAAGCAGGCUCGACGCCGGAAUAUAUUAGCAUGGAAUAAUAAAAUAGGACGUGCGGUUCUAUUUUGUUGGUUUUUGGAAUCGCCGUAAUGAUUAAUAGGGACAGUCGGGGGCAUUAGUACUCACAUGCUAGAGGUGAAAUUCUUGGAUUUUGUGAAGACUAACUUCUGCGAAAGCAUUUGCCAAGGAUGUUUUCAUUA
rnacentral:rRNA from 1 species